UUCGGGGGGGAUUGACAGAUUGAGAGCUCUUUCUUGAUUCGGUAGAUGGUGGUGCAUGUCCGUUCUUAGUUGGUGGAGUGAUUUGUCUGGUCAAAUCCGAUAACGAACGAGACUCUAGCCUAUUAAAUAGGUGCGUGGUUCUCUGCACCUUGCACCCUUCUUGAAGGGACUAGCGGCUCUUAGCCCCACGAAACAGAGCAAUAACAGGUCUGUGAUGCCCUUAGAU
rnacentral:rRNA from 1 species